AGCCUCAACUCCUGAUGAACAUAAGAGGGACACCAAAGCUGUGGCAGCCCAACCUAUUCUCGCUUUCGCUGCAUGACUUCCUGAACUGCUGCCUGCAGACAGAUGAGUCACAGCGCUGGUCUGCUGAGGAGCUCCUGCAGCAUCCACUUGUAACAUUAACUGAGCCUGUGUCCAGCCUGGUGCCGCUGAUCAUUUCAGUGAAGAGGAGGAAGGAGGAGAAAACAUCAGGACCAGUGUAGAGUCAGUUUGUAGACUAGGAUUGUAGAGUAGGGUUAUAGAGUCAGAUUGUAGACUAGAAUUGUAGAGUAGGGUUAUAGAGUAAGAUUCUGAACUAGGAUUGUAGAGUAGGGUUCUAGAGUAGGAUUGUGGACUAGGAUUGUAGAGUAGGGUUAUAGAGUAGGAGUAUAAAUCAAUAAAAUUUCUAAAAUUUUAA